ACAAAAGGACUUAGUACAAAAUUGAUUUAUAAACUGAAGAGUAAUACUUUUUACUGAAAUUUGUACUUGUACAACACUAUGAAAAUGAAGAGAACCAGGGCUAUAAACAUGAGUGGAAGAGAGAGGCUUGGUUGCCCCUCUACCAUUUGUGAUGCAACACAGAGGCCCCUACUAGUCAGCAUCACCAAGCUCUCAGAUAUCCUCUCCUGCAAAGCUCUGUGACAGCCUCACACCUUCCCUUCCCUUUCCUGAAAAUAGAGCUGACCUGCAAAGAAAAAGGAAAGUGGGAAUAAAAGAAGAACCCAGCAAAAUCUUGAAGGUUGUUUUUUUUUCUUAACCAUUGUAUGUUUGUGUUGUGUGUCUUAGUUGUGUUCCCUGUUGAGGAAGAGGUUACAGAUUCUUCAGCUUGUUAUUGUAGAGAAGUUGUAGACAAUCUUGAACUUUAUCAAGGAGUUAGCUUCUACUGCAUAACAAUGUUAGCUGUGACUGAUUGCUAUUUGCAGAUAUUUAUUAAGUGCAAGUCAGGCCUACAGAGUCAGAGUCAUUUUAUGAACAAAUUUAAAGCCAAAAGAGGCUUUACAAUACAAAAUGGUAUUAGGAUUAUUGAUAUUGAUGCAAAUUAUUAAUUAUUGAUAUUGAUGCAAAAUAUUGUACAAAUUCACUUUUUAAUAGCUUCCUGUUUAUUUUAUGCAACAAUUAAAAAUUAAUAUGUCUUUAGGUGGGGAGCAUAGCUUAGUGGAAAAGCAGUUGUCUAGCAUUCACAGAGCCCUGGGUUCAGUCCUCAGCAAUACAUACACACACGCACACACACACCCCAGUUAUAUAUAUGCAUCUACCUGUAAUUAUAGACACGUGUCUUUAUGAUAGGGGCACACUCUGAAAAAGGUGAUAUUAGUUGAUUCACAAUUACGCAAACAUCCCAGAGUGUACUUACCGCGCCUCACUGGCAGAGCUUGGUGACCACAUAGUGUCACUGCCACCUCCCUGCCAGAGGCUGGUCUCUAUGUAGCCCAGGCUGGUCUCAACUCAUGGCAGUUCUGCCUCAGCCUCCCAAGUGCUGGGAUUACAAGUGUGUGCCAUCAUGCCUGGUUCUUCUUCUUCUUAUUUUAAUUAAAACACUUUUUGCAGUGCUGAGGAUGGAACCUAGGACCUAGGGCAUGCUAAGCAAAUGCUCUGCCACUGAGCCACAUGGCCAGUUGUAUUAUUAUUACUAUUAAUUUGAAGAGCCCCUGUCCCACAGGGAAGGGCACUGAGAGAAGUGCUUCUCGGUGGGAGGGAAGCUGGUUCUGGAGGACCCAUACUGGACCCCACGGGGUUCUCCAAUUCUGCCCCUAUCCAUGCUUCCCAACCAAGCAGAGAGCUGA